UCAUGAGGAGUGGCUUGGGAGAAAGCUGGCUUCUCAAUAAACAAUUUCACACUAUGAAGAUGGGUAUCAUUGGAGGAGCAAAGGCAAAUGAUGAAUGGAGGCAGCCAGCUGACUUUAAAUGGUUAUCAACUGCAAUUGCUGUUUGACGUGAACAUGGAAACAAUGAGACAAGUCUCAAGGAAGGCAGAUGAGUCAUGUGGAACACUGCCUCAGCUGCUCCCAGUUGAGAUUUCUCUACCCCAGUCCCAGAAGGUAUCUUCACUGCUCCAGGCACCAUGAAAGCCAUGACUACUGAGACUUAUUGGAAUAUUGGUCUCGUUGUGCAACCUUAACAAGCCAGCCAGGAACAGUAAGCCAUUACCUUGAUGAAAAUAUUCAUUUCAACUCUUCACAACAAUGAAACUGAGAGGAAUUCAUCAGGUGAACAGCAGUGCUGUGAAUAUAUACUCAUGUGAAUAGGUUCAAAGUCAUGUGUCACAGAGUCAAACUGCAUAACCUGACAGGUAUUGAAAGAGGCUAAUUAAUCACCUCCAGCAUCUGUUAAGGCAAAAUAUAUUUUCUUUAGUCUUUCAGCAGGGAGUUUCUGCUUCCUGCAGUCCUCCAUAUCAUGAAGUGUUCAUAGUCAUUAACAUGACAAUAGUCAUACCAAUCCAGGGAAACAAAGAAGACGGAUUACUACUGGAUUUGGGGUCUCAUCCAAAGCCCACUGAAGUCAAUAACUUCAAUGCACUUUGGAUCUGGCCUUAAUUGUGGCUGCCUGUGCAUGGCCAAUCUGGGAAGAAAAGUACAGAGCAUGUGCAGGAGGCAAUGUUCACUGAAUACGAUAUGGGAAUUGGCUUGCUCGUUUGGAAGUGUUCUGUGUCCCCCAAUGGCUAUUGUUGGUGAUCAGUUUCCUGUCUUUCUGCCAGAACUCAGAGACCAGCACUGGGGGAAUGCAUGCUACUCUUUUUAUUUCAUAGAUGUAGGAAGUGCUGCCACUCAACAUAUUUCCUGACCCCCAAGCCAUUGGUUUAUGGUAGAACAUCUUAGCUCCCAGUGGUAUUGAGAAUAUGAUUUUACUGAAGGGUACACAAGAAGAAUUUGACUCGUGUUCUGUGUUGCACUGUUAAUGAGCAGACAACUGAUUCUGAAGGGCUGGAUGACCCCGCCAUCCACAUACACUCCCAUUAGAAAAGUUGUCAGCACUGGAAAAUUUAAGAUAGGUCUUUCUUAAUCACUCCAGGGACCAUUUAUUUCACACUCCUCAAGAAAACUUCACAAGGUGGUUGAAAGAGGGAAUUGUAAAAUGUUAUCUGUUAUGUGUGUGUUAAUUAAGUAUAUGAAUGUA